rnacentral:rRNA from 1 species
CGUUUCCGUAGGGUGANCCUGCGGAAGGAUCAUU